UCAGCAGGGAAGAAGCGCAAGUGACGGUACCUGCAGAAGAAGCGCCGGCUAACUACGUGCCAGCAGCCGCGGUAAUACGUAGGGCGCAAGCGUUGUCCGGAAUUAUUGGGCGUAAAGAGCUCGUAGGCGGCUUGUCACGUCGGGUGUGAAAGCCCGGGGCUUAACCCCGGGUCUGCAUCCGAUACGGGCAGGCUAGAGUGUGGUAGGGGAGAUCGGAAUUCCUGGUGUAGCGGUGAAAUGCGCAGAUAUCAGGAGGAACACCGGUGGCGAAGGCGGAUCUCUGGGCCAUUACUGACGCUGAGGAGCGAAAGCGUGGGGAGCGAACAGGAUUAGAUACCCUGGUAGUCCACGCCGUAAACGUUGGGAACUAGGUGUUGGCGACAUUCCACGUCGUCGGUGCCGCAGCUAACGCAUUAAGUUCCCCGCCUGGGGAGUACGGCCGCAAGGCUAAAACUCAAAGGAAUUGACGGGGGCCCGCACAAGCAGCGGAGCAUGUGGCUUAAUUCGACGCAACGCGAAGAACCUUACCAAGGCUUGACAUAUACCGGAAAGCAUUAGAGAUAGUGCCCCCCUUGUGGUCGGUAUACAGGUGGUGCAUGGCUGUCGUCAGCUCGUGUCGUG
rnacentral:rRNA from 1 species